UACAGAGGGUGCAAACGUUGUUCGGAAUUACUGGGCGUAAAGCGCGUGCAGGCGGCCUUGCAAGUCGGACGUGAAAUCCCACGGCUCAACCGUGGAAGUGCAUUCGAAUCUGCGAGGCUGGAGUCCUGGAGAGGAAAGUGGAAUACUCGGUGUAGAGGUGAAAUUCGUAGAUAUCGAGUGGAACACCGGUGGCGAAGGCGGCUUUCUGGACAGGUACUGACGCUGAGACGCGAAAGCGUGGGGAGCAAACAGG
rnacentral:rRNA from 1 species